AGGAAGAAGAAGAAUCCCCACGCAGCCUUCUUUCUUUUCCCUGCGUUGGAAGGAAGAAGGGAGGAAGAGGAUGCCGCCAACACCUUUGGCUUUUAUCUUCCUUGCUUGCGGCUGAACCAAGAGGAGAGGAGAGGGAGGCGUACGGCAAGGAGGAAGAGGACUUCUUCUAUGCCCUAGGUGCCGCCCACAAGUCCCUUUUUAUAGACAUGUGGAGCUCCUAACAUUUAGGAGUUCUUGAUGCCUUUCCUAAGAGGGGGCGUCGUCUCUUCUCCCUUCUCCACGUGGAAAGGGGAGGGGCUUAUCCCCUUCCUCAUGGUAAACCCUAAUCCAUAUUA
rnacentral:lncRNA from 1 species